rnacentral:lncRNA from 1 species
CAUUGGAAUUUAUAUAUCCUCUCUGACUAAACCCUGGAGCGACCAUGCCGGCCCAGGAGUACAUGCAGGGGGGGCACUCCCCUAAUUUAAAGCGAUCGACCUAAAAAAAAGGCGCAAAAGAGCAAAGCUACACAGAUGUCGCUGCUCUGCUUCCAUUCUACAGGGCUGGCUGGCUAAACUAUGAUGGCUCCAGCAGAAUCAUGUCAGUAGGAGGGCAGCAAACAAACAACAAAGCCCAGCCAGCCAUCACAAAAGCAUAGUGGCCAAAGCUACGAAAGGGAAAAGAAACUUCAGAAAACAGAAACUAAAAGAGACCAAAAUAAAAGCUAGCCAGCUUGCUUGCUUGCCUGCUUGCGUUGAGACCCAUUUUGUUGUUAGCACAGCACAGUGGUCGUCUUCUACCCUGCGUCUGACCUGUCAGCGUCUCAUCCAUGCAUGCUGCUUCCUAUGUUUGCACCAUGCCAUCAUGCCCUACCCUACCCCCCUCAUCCUCUUUUACCUCUUUGUUGUGUUGUGUGGCUUCUGAGAACUAUGUCAGUCUUGAUCUCAUCACAUCGCAUCCAUCAGGGCCAGGGCCAGGCCACCUUCAUUCUCCACCGCCCCGAAUCAUUCCAUUCCAAAGAUCGGCGUCUGAAAGGCUGCCACAUUUGGGUAGUAUCCAAAGGACCCUGCCGUCACCGAGCUUUCGUAGGGCCCGCCGCUGCUGAAAGCCGCCAUGGGCGUCGACGCGCCGAACCCCAUGGAGUGAUGCUGAUCAUGCUGCUGCUCCUGCCCCUCCCCCUCGUGCUGCUGCUGCUGCUGAUCGUGUUGCUGAAGGUGCAAGUCGCCGGCGUUGCUGCCGUAGCAGUGAGGCGCCAUCGCGCCGCCGGGGCCGGCGUUGGCGAAGUCCAGGUUGACGCCGGAGCUGUAGAGGCCGUAGCCGAGCCCCUGGAGGUUGCCCUGCUGGUGGUGCUGCAGGGCCAGGAACGACAGGUAGUCCUGCUGCUGCUGGUCGUACUUCAUCG